UGUUGAGCUUCACUCUAGUCUGGCACGGUGAAGAGACAUGAGAGGUGUAGAAUAAGUGGGAGGCCGCCGGCGCCCCUCCGUCCCCGUGAGGGGGCGGGGCGGGGUCCGCCGGCCUUGCGGGCCGCCGGUGAAAUACCACUACUCUGAUCAUUUUUUCACUGACCCGGUGAGGCGGGGGGGUGAGCCCCGAGGGGCUCUCGCUUCUGGCGCCAAGCGCCCGGCCGUGCACGCAAAAAUAUGCCAAAAUGUAAAGACCAUCGAGGCUAGGAAGAAACUGCAUCAACUAACGAGCAAAAUAACCAGUUAAUAUCAUAAUGGCAGGAUCAAGUUCACACA
rnacentral:ncRNA from 1 species